UAAUGUGGAGAGAAGAGUUAACUCGAAGGCCAAUGGACCUUUCUGAAGAAGAAGCUUGCAAGAUACUAGAGAUUUCCAUUGAUGAAGUAUCCAGAGAGGAUGCCCCUAAGAAACCAAGUUUUGAGUCAGUUGAGGAGAUACCUAAUAUAUCAGAGCAGAUUGAGUAUAUUGAUGAGGAAAAGCUCAAGAGACAGUAUAGGAAACUUGCAAUGAAGUAUCAUCCUGACAAAAAUCCUGAAGGGAGGGAGAAGUUUCUGGCAGUAAGAAAGCUUAUGAGUGCUUGCAGGUAAGCAUGCAAGGAUUGCAAGGUCCCCAGACUUGGAGAUUGUUGCUUCUCUUAAAGGGCCAGUGUAUUCUAUAUAGGCGAUAUGGGAAUGUAUUAGUGUUAAUCAAUAUCCUAUGCUCUUAAGUGCCAUUAUAGUGGACAAGGAUGAUUACAAUUUUCUUUCCUCUGAUCGAGCACAUCUUCUAGUUGCAUCCUCGGAGCUUGUUUGGUUGACGUGCGAGUCUUCAUCAUUGAAUGGUGAAGAGCUUGAGAGAGAUGGUGGAAUACCUCUUCUUGCAACCCUCCUUUCCCGUUGCAUGUGUGUGGUCCAACCAACAACUCCUGCCACUGAACCGUCCGCUACUAUUGUUGCUAACAUAAUGCGAGUCAGUUUGAAAGUGCGAGAACUGAGAUGCUUGUAUUUUCAGGAUUAGUUGAUGACAUUGUUCAUUGCACUUUAUAUUUCUUUCUUUUUCUUUCUUUUUUGUCUUCCAUCUUUUUUUUAAACUCUUCUAAUGAAGUUCAUCACAUAAUUUUCUUUUAGUUAAAUUUGCUACACUUGGUGAGAAGACAAUGGUGAUGUUCCCGGAAGUGCUUUAGUAUUGGUGUUCCGUGGUGCAGGUGACUAUAUAUGCUAUCAUAUCUUUUUUAUCAUUUGUCACCUAAUGUUUUGUGUUGCCGGGUUCUCAUUUUUUUGGAUUUUUGACUAAUUGGAGUGUAUUUCUUCAUUGUUUUUGCUACUCUGAUUUAAUUUUUCUAGUAAUAAUAGCAUUUGUGUUCUACCAACUUGCAUAUUUGCUUCUUCGCUGCUGAAACUCUGUUGUUCUCCAUUUUCAACUUUUUUGUUCACAGCAUAUAUAGUCAACUAACAUAUUGUAGAACUCUUGUAAAGUUAAUCUGCUCCUGUGGUAGAGAUUGUGUUCUUGCUUGAGUGUUUGGAUCCACGUUGAAGUAACUUUCUCCUCGUUUAUACAACUCUCUGACAGCAUAAGAAUUGGAGGGUGAUGAAUACAGUUGUUGAACAAAACCUUCCAGCCGAAAAGGUGAGAAUAGAUCUAUCCUCAUACACUCUCAUUUAUUAUUUAAAC